rnacentral:rRNA from 1 species
UGGGGAAUAUUGGACAAUGGGGGCAACCCUGAUCCAGCCAUGCCGCGUGAGUGAUGAAGGCCUUAGGGUUGUAAAGCUCUUUUACCAGGGAUGAUAAUGACAGUACCUGGAGAAUAAGCUCCGGCUAACUCCGUGCCAGCAGCCGCGGUAAUACGGAGGGAGCUAGCGUUGUUCGGAAUUACUGGGCGUAAAGCGCGCGUAGGCGGCUUAUCAAGUCAGAGGUGAAAGCCCGGGGCUCAACCCCGGAACUGCCUUUGAGACUGGGCAGCUCGAGACCGGAAGAGGAGGGUGGAAUACCCAGUGUAGAGGUGAAAUUCGUAGAUAUUGGGUGGAACACCAGUGGCGAAAGCGGCUCUCUGGUCCGGAUCUGACGCUGAGGCGCGAAAGCGUGGGGAGCAAACAGGAUUAGAUACCCGUGUAGUCC